UCAAUCCUUAAUCCUUUUUAGAUUCAUCUUCAAAUUCGUUCAAUCCCGAAAACAUAUCGUAGUAUGACAAGAUACUGAAAUAUGAUAAGACGUUCACAUAAAAUUUAUUGCAUAUUACUAAUUUUCUUUUAUAAAAUUUGCUUGUUUCAGGUAUCACUGCUUAGGAGAUAUAUAAUUUGGAUAUGUAAUAGUAGCAGUAGAUCAAGGGAAACUGUUUACAAGUAAUGAGGUAACUAAAUUAGAAGAGUCAAGAAAUGGUAGACGUUCCGAGUCUAGCUAGCACUAAUUAAGGAUCAUGAAGCAACAUCACGUACCAGAGAAUAUUUAGUUGUUUUGUGAACUUAUUUUGAUGUAAUGUUUUGUAUGUUUAGCCAUUUUACUAAUGUUUAUGCGUUAGUUUUUAAAUGUUUGAACGACAUAACUUUUUUAUUCUUUUGGAGUUUCAAGUACUUGAUGU